rfam:Caedibacter sp. 38-128 SCNpilot_expt_500_p_scaffold_2301, whole genome shotgun sequence.
AUAAUGACCAAGGAAAAGUUUAGCCAACAGCCUUGCACCGAGUCUUGCGUGGUGAAUGGUAACAAACACCGCGAAGCGUAGACAGGGAGAUAGCAGGCUGGAACCGAAAGGUGAAGAGGAUAAUUAACCCCAAAAUCCUCCGAAUUGUGAAGUCGUCGACCUCAUGCGGGGCUUGAGGGAAGACAGCAAUCUAUUAGUCGUUAAAGGUGAGACUAAGAGGUGACUUCUGGAGUUAGUACC